AUUGAACGCUAACGGCAUGCUUAACACAUGCAAGUCGAACGGCAGCACAGCAGUAGCAAUACUGUGGGUGGCGAGUGGCGGACGGGUGAGUAAUGCAUAGGAAUCUGCCUUGUAGUGGGGGAUAACCCGGGGAAACUCGGGCUAAUACCGCAUAAUCUUUACGAAGCAAAGUGGGGGACCGUAAGGCCUUACGCUAUAAGAUGAGCCUAUGUCGGAUUAGCUAGUUGGUGGGGUAAAGGCCUACCAAGGCGACGAUCCGUAGCUGGUCUGAGAGGAUGAUCAGCCACACUGGGACUGAGACACGGCCCAGACUCCUACGGGAGGCAGCAGUGGGGAAUAUUGGACAAUGGGCGAAAGCCUGAUCCAGCAAUGCCGUGUGUGUGAAGAAGGCCUCGG
rnacentral:rRNA from 1 species